GACGAACGCUGGCGGCGUGCUUAACACAUGCAAGUCGAACGAUGAAAGCUGGAGCUUGCUCCGGCUGGAUUAGUGGCGAACGGGUGAGUAACAUGUGAGCAAUCUGCCCUUGACUCUGGGAUAACUCCGAGAAAUCGGUGCUAAUACCGGAUAUGACCCUUGGCGGCAUCGCUGGGGGUGGAAAGUUUUUCGGUCAAGGAUGAGCUCGCGGCCUAUCAGCUUGUUGGUGAGGUAAUGGCUCACCAAGGCGACGACGGGUAGCCGGCCUGAGAGGGUGACCGGCCACACUGGGACUGAGACACGGCCCAGACUCCUACGGGAGGCAGCAGUGGGGAAUAUUGCACAAUGGGCGCAAGCCUGAUGCAGCAACGCCGCGUGGGGGAUGACGGCCUUCGGGUUGUAAAUCUCUUUUAGCAGGGGAGAAGCGAAAGUGACGGUACCUGCAGAAAAAGCACCGGCUAACUACGUGCCAGCCGCCGCAGUAA
rnacentral:rRNA from 1 species